CGGGAAGCAGCGCAACCAGAAAAAUUUGAACUCCGACUCCCUCGGGAGCACCUAAGGGUUGUAAGCAGGAGAGGAGAAACGAUGGUGUAGAUGGCUUUCAGUGGAGAAGCCACUGUCAUGGAGGUGUUCCUGUCGAGUCAGGUGUUAUCCUAAAGUGUCAUACAGCUGUGGCUGCUGCUAACACACACAAUACCUUUGUGGAAUUAAAAAGGCACCUAUUCCUCGAUAUGUUACAUCCAUUGGUCAGAAAGUGUCAUAAUGGACUGAUUUUGUUAGAGCAUGAUGCUGCUAUACACAAGAAUAU